rnacentral:lncRNA from 1 species
AAGGGGGGGGGGCGCCAACCCAGACAGGAAGACCACGUCAGUGACUCAACCCACUCAAGUGACGCACCCCUCCUAGGGACGGCAUGGAAGAGCACCAGUAAGCCAGUGACUCAACCCCUGUAAUAGGGUUAGAGGCAGAGAAUCCCAGUGGAGAGAGGGGAACCGGCUAGGCAGAGACAGCAAGGGCAGUUCGUUGCUCCAGUGCCUUUCCGUUCACCUUCACUCUCCUGGGCCAGACUACACGGGUCGGGGACCCUUGGUCUUGUUGUUCCAUCUCCAAGUAUGUGUACUCGGUGGAAAGCCACCUUGUUUACAGUCUCUAUAGGACGUUUCAAGGAGGAUUGCAUGAAUUCUCUGAUCGUGCCCUCUGGAUUAUUGGAUGCGUCCUCAUGAAUCCCAGAUUUUUUUUUUCACGCAUUCUAUAACUUUGUAUGUCUAGUAGCGACUCCUUCAUCAUCCUAUUAACCCUGAAUAGACAAUCCAUAUUGGAAUCGUGGAUUUUUACCUUGGCUGUGAGUGCCUUGUUUUCUCCUUGGAGCGUGAGAAUUUCACUCUGGCUAACUCCAAACACUCCCUCAGCCCUGCUACCUCCUCACACAACUUUUCCAGUGUUGCAUGGAUUCCAGCCAGAGCACUGGCCUCUACUUCAACGGAUGGAGGAGGAGAAGCUGAUGGAGGCGACUUCCUUGACAGGCAAGUUCAAGGUAGCACAGGCCAUUCGGAUAGGGACUGAGGCGGGGAAACAUCAAUUAGGCCCAAGCGUUGUCCUGCCAUAGGAGUUGAGAAAGUUCCAAUCUGCAUUUUCCCCAUAAAUUCGCAAAGAAGUGAGAUUUGUUUGCAAAGCAUGGCCACCUCAUUUCUGUAGUCCCCCAUGAGCAAACAAUUGCCGCAUUGGAACUCCGGAUUGUCAAUAUUGUCCCAGAC